GCUCAGGAUGAACGCUGGCGGCGUGCCUAAUACAUGCAAGUCGAACGAAUCUCUUUUAGAGAUGAGUGGCGAACGGGUGAGUAAUACAUAGGUAACCUGCCCCUGUGCGGGGGAUAACAGGAGGAAACUCCUGCUAAUACCGCAUAGCCAUGAGCACCGCAUGGAGCUCAUGCCAAAUAUCCUUUAUGGGAUAGCGCAGGGAUGGACCUAUGGCGCAUUAGCUGGUUGGCGGGGCAACGGCCCACCAAGGCAACGAUGCGUAGCCGGCCUGAGAGGGCGGACGGCCACAUUGGGACUGAGACACGGCCCAGACUCCUACGGGAGGCAGCAGUAGGGAAUUUUCGGCAAUGGGGGAAACCCUGACCGAGCAACGCCGCGUGAGCGAAGAAGGCCUUCGGGUCGUAAAGCUCUGUUGUAAAGGAAGAACGGCGCAUACAGGAAAUGGUAUGCGAGUGACGGUACUUUACCAGAAAGCCACGGCUAACUACGUGCCAGCAGCCGCGGUAAUACGUAGGUGGCGAGCGUUAUCCGGAAUCAUUGGGCGUAAAGAGGGAGCAGGCGGCCGCAAGGGUCUGUGGUGAAAGACCGAAGCUAAACUUCGGUAAGCCAUGGAAACCGGGCGGCUAGAGUGCGGAAGAGGAUCGUGGAAUUCCAUGUGUAGCGGUGAAAUGCGUAGAUAUAUGGAGGAACACCAGUGGCGAAGGCGACGGUCUGGGCCGCAACUGACGCUCAUUCCCGAAAGCGUGGGGAGCAAAUAGGAUUAGAUACCCUAGUAGUCCACGCCGUAAACGAUGGUCACUAAGUGUCGGGGGUCAAACCCCGGUGCUGCAGUCAACGCAAUAAGUGACCCGCCUGAGUAGUACGUUCGCAAGAAUGAAACUCAAAGGAAUUGACGGAAG
rnacentral:rRNA from 1 species